rnacentral:rRNA from 1 species
AGGGUUUGAUCCUGGCUCAGGGUGAACGCUGGCGGCGUGCCUAACACAUGCAAGUCGUGCGACGAACUCGGAGGAUUUUAUUUCGGUAGAAUUCUCCGGGGGAAAGCGGCGGACGGGUGAGUAACACUUAAGUAAUCUCCCCCAAGGACUGGGAUAAUUCGCUGAAAGGCGGACUAAUACCAGAUAAUCUUUUCUGAUGGCAGCAUCAGAAAAGCAAAGGCCUGUUUUUAACAGGCUGCCAUGGGAUGAGCUUGAGUCCUAUCAGCUAGUUGGUAAGGUAAUGGCUUACCAAGGCGAAGACGGGUAGCUGGUCUUAGAGGACGACCAGCCACAUGGGGAUUGAGACACGGCCCCGACUCCUACGGGAGGCAGCAGUGGGGAAUAUUGGACAAUGCCCGAAAGGGUGAUCCAGCGACGCCGCGUGGGUGAUGAAGGCCUUCGGGUCGUAAAACCAUGUCAAGUGGGAAGAAUCCGUCUCUGACGGAUGACGGUACUACUAAAGGAAGCCCCGGCUAAUUCCGUGCCAGCAGCCGCGGUAAUACGGAAGGGGCAAGCGUUACCCGGAUUUACUGGGUGUAAAGGGUCCGCAGGCGGUCGGGUAUGUCAGUUUUGAAAUACUCUGGCUCAACCAGAGAAUUGGAACUGAAACUACCUGACUUUGAGUCCAGAUGGGGGAAAUGGAACUGCCGGUGUAGCGGUGGAAUGCGUAGAUAUCGGCAGGAACACCUGUGGCGAAGGCGAUUUCCUAAUCUGGAACUGACGCUCAGGGACGAAAGUGUGGGGAGCGAUCGGGAUUAGAUACCCCGGUAGUCCACACUGUAAACGAUGGGUGCUAGGUGUCGGUCUGGUAAAACGGAUCGGUGCCGAAGUUAACACGUUAAGCACCCCACCUGGGGACUACGGUCGCAAGGCUGAAACCCAAAGGAAUUGACGGGGGUCCGCACAACCGGUGGAACAUGUGGUUUAAUUCGAUGAUACGCGAAGAACCUUACCUGGGCUUGACAUAUACCUGGUAGGAGCCCGAAAGGGUAACGACCUGUCUUCCAAGACAGGAGGGUAAACAGGUGGUGCAUGGCUGUCGUCAGCUCGUGCCGUGAGGUGUUGGGUUAAGUCCCGGAACGAGCGCAACCCUUGCUCUUAGUUACUCGUCUUCAAAGACAGCACUCUAAGAGGACUGCCGUGGUUAACACGGAGGAAGGUGGGGAUGACGUCAAGUCAGCACGCCCCUUAUGUCCAGGGCUACACACGUGUUACAAUGGUUGGUACAGAGAGAAGCAAAGCCGCGAGGUGAAGCAAAUCUCAAAAAGCCAAUCUCAGUUCGGAUUGCAGGCUGCAACCUGCCUGCAUGAAGUUGGAAUCGGUAGUAAUCGCGGAUCAGCCAGGCCGCGGUGAAUACGUUCUCGGACCUUGUACACACCGCCCGUCACGCCAACUGAGUCAGGGGUACCUGAAAUUACUUUUUCUAACCGUUUCGGCGGACAGAGGGUAAUGAAGGUACGCUUGGCAAGGAGGGCGAAGUCGUAACAAGGCA